UACGUAGGCGGUUUAUUAAGUCAGGGGUGAAAGGCUACGGCUCAACCGUAGUAAGCCUUUGAAACUGAUAAACUUGAGUAUGGUAGAGGAAAGUGGAAUUCCUGGUGUAGCGGUGAAAUGCGUAGAUAUCAGGAGGAACAUCGAUGGCGAAGGCAGCUUUCUGGGCCAUUACUGACGCUGAGGUACGAAAGCGUGGGGAGCGAACA
rnacentral:rRNA from 1 species